UGAAAUUGAAUAUGAAAACCGUAGACAGCAGGUGCCGAAAGGCUUAAUAUCCCGCCGAGGUGUUAUGAUAUAUGAUUCGAUCUUCUCGAUUGAAUGCCGUCAUGCCUUCGUGUCGUCUACGAAGGCAUUUCUUAAUUUACUU
rfam:Paenibacillus larvae subsp. larvae DSM 25430, complete genome.